ACACUGACGUCGCGACGCAUAUCAAUAAGCGGAGGAAAAGAAACUAACUAGGAUUCCCUUAGUAACGGCGAGUGAAGCGGGAAGAGCUCAAAUUUGAAAUCUUCAAGGUUCUACCUUGACGAAUUGUAGUUUAAAGAAGUGUUUUCUGUUGGAGUGGCUAAAAGUUCUUUGGAAUAGGACAUCAUAGAGGGUGAGAAUCCCGUAUUUGGUCAUUCCUUCUAGCUUUGUGAUACACUUUCAAAGAGUCGGAUUGUUUGGGAAUGCAGUCCAAAAUGGGUGGUAAAUUUCAUCUAAAGCUAAAUAUUGGCGAGAGACCGAUAGCGAACAAGUACCGUGAGGGAAAGAUGAAAAGAACUUUGAAAAGAGAGUUAAACAGUACGUGAAAUUGUCAAAAGGGAAGCGUUUGACACCAGUGUUGUUUUUCCGAAAAUCAAUUAUAGAUGUUUUGUUUCUGAGGAGUGAUGACUUCAUCGGCUUCCUUCUCUCUUCACGAAACUUUUGUAAUGCACUUUUCGGUUAACAAGUCAACAUCAAUUUCUUUUGUUGUAAAAGAGUAUUCGGAAGGUGGCUUUCUUUUCGGAGAAAGUGUUUAUAGCCCUAUACUUCUACAAUCGGAGAGAUUGAGGUCUGCAGCGUAGAUCCUUCGGGGUUAGAUACACUUGUGCUAAGUUAUAGCUUUUCAUAGACAACUUGUUGACUAUGUUUAGUCAUUGUAGCUUACUCGCAUUGAUAGCUAUUUUACCUACGCUUAGGAUGUUGAGUCGUAGAGCACGCAG
rnacentral:rRNA from 1 species